rfam:Mycobacterium sp. KMS, complete genome.
CCUCCAUGAUCUGCGGGCAGAUCAGGUGGACGUGGCAGUCGAUCGCACCCGCCGUGAGGAUCCGACCGUUGCCGGCGAUGAUCUCGGUCGACGGCCCGACCACCAGAUCGGGGUGCACGCCGUCCAUGAUGUCGGGAUUGCCGGCCUUGCCGAUCGCGACGAUGCGACCGUCGCGGAUGCCGAUGUCGGCCUUGAUGAUUCCCCAGUGAUCGAGGAUGACGGCGCCGGUGAUGACGGUGUCGGGGGCACCGUCUGCGCGGGUGGCCCUGGACUGGCCCAUCGACUCGCGCAG